AGCUGAGAAGAGUGACCUGCUGAGAAAGCUGCUUUUGUAACCUGGUGGGGUGAAAUAAAAUUAUCAAAACAUUCCUAAUUAUGUUUCAGUUAAGAUUAAAUUCAACUUUAUUGUUAUUGCCUAAAAGUACAGUCAAAUGAAUAGGUUUUGUAUCUAUCUUCACUUCAAACAAGUCACGUGCUCAGAAAAUGCUUAGAAUGUGUCCAUUUUAAUAGGUUUUAAUGCAUAAGACAGUAGAUAGAAUAAAUAUUAGAUAAUAUAAAUAUGAGAGUUUUCUUACAGCCUUAAUCUGUCAUUGUUUCGUUUCAGACUGUCAGUCAAUUUUGGAAGCCUGAAGUGGGUUCAUUUUAAGUUUCCAUAUUCCAUAUGUUAAGAUAUGUUCAGUGUUGCUGCUGUGGAAGUGUUGUGGGUGACUUUUUAUUGAUGCAGGUCUAAUCAUACUUUAAGAGGUUCUCUAGACCAUGCAACUUUUUAAGUUCCUACGGUCCCAUCAUAAUUUCUUAAGAAGUACUGUAUAUGAUGUCAGUAUUUUCCAACAUUUUCUAAAUACUGUACCAGUACUGUGUAAAAUGCCAUCAAAAAGUCAAUUAAGUGUUAUUCUUUCUCA